rnacentral:rRNA from 1 species
GUGACCCCAGGAUAAGCGAGGCCACCCGCUGAGUUUAAG